rnacentral:rRNA from 1 species
GUAGGUGGCGAAGUAAGUUGGUAGUGAAAGCGUUCGGCUCAACCGGAUAAACAUUACCAAAACUGCUUUAGCUAGAGGAUGAGAGAGGUUAUUGGAAUUCCCUGUGUAGGAGUGAAAUCCGUAGAUAUGGGGAGGAACACCGAUGGCGUGGGCAGAUAACUGGCUCAUUUCUGACACUAAGGCACGAAAGCGUGGGGAGCAAACAGGAUUAGAUACCCUGGUAGUCCACGCUGUAAACUAUGGAUGCUAGCUGUUAUGGGUAUCGACCCCCGUAGUAGCGAAGCUAACGCGUUAAGCAUCCCGCCUGUGGAGUACGGUCGCAAGACUAAAACAUAAAGGAAUUGACGGGGACCCGCACAAGCGGUGGAGCGUGUUGUUUAAUUCGAUGGUAAGCGAAGAACCUUACCCAGGCUUGAAAUCCUUGGAAUUUUGGCGAAAGCCGAGAGUGCCUUCGGGAACCAAGUGACAGGUGUUGCAUGGCCGUCGUCAGCUCGUGUCGUGAGAUGUUAGGUUAAGUCCUUCAACGAGCGCAACCCUUGUGAUUAGUUGAAUUUUUCUAAUCAGACUGCCCUGGCAACAGGGAGGAAGGGGGGGGAUGAUGUCAGGGUCAGUAUUACCCUUACGUCUGGGGCUACAAACACGCUACAAUGGCCGGUACAAAGGGCAGCCAAGUCGCGA